rnacentral:rRNA from 1 species
UACGAAGGGUGCAAGCGUUACUCGGAAUUACUGGGCGUAAAGCGUGCGUAGGUGGUUCGUUAAGUCUGUCGUGAAAGCCCCGGGCUCAACCUGGGAAUGGCGAUGGAUACUGGCGGGCUAGAGUGCGGUAGAGGAGAGUGGAAUUCCCGGUGUAGCAGUGAAAUGCGUAGAGAUGUGGAGGAACACCGAUGGCGAAGGCAGCCCCCUGGGUCAAGACUGACGCUCAUGCACGAAAGCGUGGGGAGCAAACAGG